rnacentral:rRNA from 1 species
GAUGAACGCUGGCGGCAUGCUUUACACAUGCAAGUCGAACGGUAACAGGGUGCUUGCACCGCUGACGAGUGGCGAACGGGUGGGUAAUGCGUCGGAACGUGCCGAGUAGUGGGGGAUAACGCAGCGAAAGUUGUGCUAAUACCGCAUACGUACUGAGGUAGAAAGUGGGGGACCUUCGGGCCUCACGCUAUUCGAGCGGCCGACGUCUGAUUAGCUAGUAGGUGAGGUAAAGGCUCACCUAGGCGACAAUCAGUAGCGGGUCUGAGAGGAUGAUCCGCCACACUGGGACUGAGACACGGCCCAGACUCCUACGGGAGGCAGCAGUGGGGAAUUUUGGACAAUGGGCGAAAGCCUGAUCCAGCCAUGCCGCGUGUCUGAAGAAGGCCUUCGGGUUGUAAAGGACUUUUGUCAGGGAGGAAAUCCCUAGUGCUAAUAACACUGGGGGAUGACAGUACCUGAAGAAUAAGCACCGGCUAACUACGUGCCAGCAGCCGCCGUAA